UACGUAGGGUGCAAGCGUUGUCCGGAAUUAUUGGGCGUAAAGAGCUCGUAGGCGGUCUGUCGCGUCUGCUGUGAAAACUCAGGGCUUAACCCUGAGCUUGCAGUGGGUACGGGCAGACUAGAGUGCGGUAGGGGAGACUGGAAUUCCUGGUGUAGCGGUGAAAUGCGCAGAUAUCAGGAGGAACACCGGUGGCGAAGGCGGGUCACUGGCCCGGUACUGACGCUGAGGUGCGAAAGCGUGGGGAGCAAACAGG
rnacentral:rRNA from 1 species